UAAGGAAUAUUGCUCAAUGGGAGAAAUCCUGAAGCAGCAACGCCGCGUGGAGGAUGAAGGGUCUAUGACUUGUAAACUCCUGUAAAGAAGGAAAAAAUUCCCAUUAGAUGGGAGAUGAUGGUACUUCUGGAGUAAGCCCCGGCUAACUACGUGCCAGCAGCCGCGGUAAUACGUAGGGGGCAAGCGUUGUCCGGAUUUACUGGGUGUAAAGGGUGCUCAGGCGGAUUUGUAAGUCAGAGGUGAAAUCUUACAGCUUAACUGUGAAACUGCCUUUGAUACUGCAAGCCUAGAGUAUGGAAGAGAGUGAUGGAAUAUCUGGUGUAGCAGUGAAAUGCGUAGAUAUCAGUUAGAACACCAAUGGCGAAGGCAGUCACUUGGUCCAUUACUGACGCUAAAGCACGAAAGCGUGGGUAGCAAACA
rnacentral:rRNA from 1 species